rnacentral:rRNA from 1 species
AUUGAACGCUGGCUGCAUGCUUUACACAUGCAAGUCGAACGGCAGCGCGGGCUUCGGCCUGGCGGCGAGUGGCGAACGGGUGAGUAAUGCAUCGGAACGUGCCCAGCAGUGGGGGAUAGUCCGGCGAAAGCCGGAUUAAUACUGCAUACGACCUGAGGGUGCAAGCGGGGGACCGAAAGGCCUCGCGCUAUUGGAGCGGCCGAUGUCGGACUAGCUAGUUGGUGGGGUAAAGGCUUACCAAGGCGACGAUCCGUAGCUGGUCUGCGAGGACGACCAGCCACACUAGGACUGAGACACGGCCCAGACUCCUACGGGAGGCAGCAGUGGGGAAUUUUGGACAAUGGGGGCAACCCUGAUCCAGCCAUGCCGCGUGCGAGAAGAAGGCCUUCGGGUUGUAAACCGCUUUUGUUCGGGAAGAAAUCCUCUGGGCUAAUACCCCGGGGGGAUGACGGUACCGGAAGAAUAAGCACCGGCUAACUACGUG